GAGUUUUCUGUCAUUUCCUUCAGUGGUUCUUAGUGCAGUGCCCCCACAGGCGGGGAGGGGAACAGUUUUUCAAACGGUUUGAUUUGUAUGAAAUGA